rnacentral:ncRNA from 1 species
UGGUCCUAACCUUGUAAUCAUUUAUCACCCAACUUAUACAUGCAAGUCUCCGCACUCCUGUGAAAACGCCCUUAAUCUUCUUCUUGAAGCAAGGAGCUGGUAUCAGGCGCAAUUAUUAGCCCAAAACACCUAGCUAUGCCACAUCCACAAGGAAAUUCAGCAGUAAUUAACAUUAAGUAUAAGCGUCAGCUUGACUCAGUUAAGGUGAAAAGAGCCGGCAAAUAUGGUGCCAGCCGCCGCGGUUAUACCACGAGGCCCAAAUUGAUUACUCUCGGCGUAAAGCGUGAUUAAAGUUAAACCAUAAUUAUAGUUCUACUCCAACUAAGCUGUAAUAUGCUUGUUUUUAAGAAACUCAAAAACGAAAGUUACUAUAUACCAAUCAACUUGAAUCCACGACAGUUGAGACACAAACUGGGAUUAGAUACCCCACUAUGCUCAACCGUAAACUUUUAAUUACACCAACAUCGCCAGGGAACUACGAGCAAAGCUUAAAACCCAAAGGACUUGACGGUACCCCAUAUCCACCUAGAGGAGCCUGUCCUGUAAUCGAUAAUCCCCGCUAAACCUCACCAUUUUUGGCUGGUCAGCCUGUAUACCUCCGUCGUCAGCUUACCACGUGAGCGUCACCCAGUGAGCCUAAUGUUCUUACACCAACACGUCAGGUCAAGGUGCAGUAAAUGAAAUGGGAAGAGAUGGGCUACACUUUCUAAUCUAGAACAUACGAAAGACUAUUUAUGAAACCUAGUCGGAAGGCGGAUUUAGUAGUAAAAAAAGAUCAUAAAGCUCUUUUUAACCCGGCACUGGGGUGUGUACACACCGCCCGUCACCCUCUUCAAAGCACAAAUGAAAGUUCUUAACCCCAUCCAGCAUCACAGAAGAGGCAAGUCGUAACAUGGUAAGCGUACCGGAAGGUGCACUUGGAAA